rnacentral:lncRNA from 1 species
UGAUCUUGAGUCAAGAUUUUUUGAUAGUUGUCUGGUAAUCUACAAAGUGUGGAAGGUUUGGUCCCUUGUUUGCUAAUAAAUAAGAUCAGAAAUGGCGAAUGUUGAGAAUGAUGGCGUAAAUAGGACCCAAAACACAACAAUCGACUAUAAUCACCCUAUGUUUCUUGGCCCAGCAGAUCAGAGUGGUAUUCAAAUUGUUUCAUUCUAGUUAGCAGGUAUGAAAAACUAUUCUAUUUAUUUUCGUUCCAUGAGAGUUGCAUUACUAGGAAGAAACAAGUUGGGCUUAGUUGAUGGUACGUGUACUAAAGAUAAAUUCCCUGCGGAGUUAGACAACCAAUGGGAAAAGGGUUAACGCAAUCGUGUUGUCUUGGAUAAUGAAUUUUGUGUCAAAAAAUUUACUUAGUGGAAUUAUGUAUGUAUCUGUUGCUAAGGUAGUAUGGGAUGAUCUGCAUGAAAGGUUUCAUAAAAUAGAUGGUGCUAGAACAUUCAAUUUACAUAAAAAGAUUGCAACUUGCACACAAGAAAGUGUGUCUGUAUCCACAUAUUUCUCUACGAUGAAGGAUUUGUGGGAAGAAUUUGAUUCGAUUGUCCCUGCACCUGUUUGUGAUUGUGACAAAUCAAGAUAUUUUGUGUCACAUCUGUAAAAGUUGGAGUUGUUUCAAUUCUUGAUGGGUCUAAACGAUGUUUAUAUUCAAGCAAGAAGUUAGAUCCUGCUUAUGAGUCCUAUGCCUACAGUUAAUCAAGCUUAUGCCAUGAUCUUGAGUGAUGAGAGUCACAAAUCAGUGGUUAAUACUGCAGGAAUUUUGGGUGCUAAUCCAAUGAUACAUUCACAAGGUGGUGAUGUUGCCAUGUAUUCCAAAAAUGUAGGUGCAACUAAUCAGUUCCAGAGGUUUAAAAAGAACUACAAUGUGCAAUAUGAAUUCUACAAAAUGAAGGGGC